rnacentral:rRNA from 1 species
CACGUCGCUGGGCAAAGUCCGUCGCAAGGCGUGACUCGUUUGGCUCGUGCUAUCUUUGGGUAAUGGCCCGCACUUCACGGUGUGGACAACCGUUCCCAAUUGUUUAUUUUGAAAAAAUUAGAGUGUUCAAGGCAGGCGUAAGCCUUUAAAUAAUUAAGCAUGAGAUAAUAGAAUAGGACAUUAGUUUUAUUUUGUUGGUUUCUAAGGCUGAUGUA